rnacentral:rRNA from 1 species
UGAGGAAUAUUGGACAAUGGGCGAAAGCCUGAUCCAGCAACGCCGCGUGAGUGAAGAAGGCCUUAGGGUUGUAAAGCUCUUUUAGUAGGGAAGAGAAUAAUUUAUUAUUGGACGGUACUUACAGAAAAAGUCCCGGCUAACUUCGUGCCAGCAGCCGCGGUAAUACGAAGGGGGCAAGCGUUACUCGGAAUUAUUGGGCGUAAAGCGUGCGCAGGCUGUCCUGCAAGUUAAAAGUGAAAUCCUUGGGCCCAACCCAAGAACUGCUUUUAAAACUGUGGGACUUGAGUAUCAGAGAGGAUAGCGGAAUUCCUAGUGUAGAGGUGAAAUUCGUAGAUAUUAGGAGGAACAUCAGAGGCGAAAGCGGCUAUCUGGCUGAAUACUGACGCUGAUGCACGAAAGCGUGGGGAGCAAACA